rnacentral:rRNA from 1 species
GGCGAGAGACGAGGACCGCUGUCGCUGGCCUUCACCGAGGCAUGUGCACGCUCUCCUCCGGACUCUCGCCGUAUGGGCGCGGGGCGACCCGCGUCUUCAUAUACCUCUUCGUGUAGAAAGUCUUCGAAUGUUUUUACCAUCGUCGAGUCGCGACUUCCAGGAGACGCGAUUCUUCGAGACAAAAGUUAUCACAACUUUCAGCAAUGGAUCUCUUGGCUCUCGCAUCGAUGAAGAACGCAGCGAAUCGCGAUAUGUAAUGUGAAUUGCAGAUCUACAGUGAAUCAUCGAAUCUUUGAACGCACCUUGCGCUCCUCGGUGUUCCGAGGAGCAUGCCUGUUUGAGCGUCAGUAAAUUCUCAACCCCUCUCGAUUAGCUUCGAGCGGGGCUUGGAUAGUGGGGGCUGCCGGAGACCCGAAAUCAUUUUUUUCAGGACUCGGGCUCCCCUGAAAUGCAUCGGCUUGCGGUCGACUUUCGACUUUGCGCGACAAGGCUUUCGGCGUGAUAAUGAUCGCCGUUCGCCGAAGCGCACGAAUGAACCGUCCCGCGCCUCUAAUCAGUCGACGCCUUCCGGGGCGUCUUCCUUAUAGACGUUUGACCUCAAAUCA